rnacentral:rRNA from 1 species
AAUGGGCGCAAGCCUGAACCAGCCAUCCCGCGUGCAGGAUGACGGCCCUAUGGGUUGUAAACUGCUUUUAUACACCAAGAAAAACUCCGACGUGUCGGAGCCCGACGGUAGUGUAUGAAUAAGCAUCGGCUAACUCCGUGCCAGCAGCCGCGGUAAUACGGAGGAUGCAAGCGUUAUCCGGAUUCAUUGGGUUUAAAGGGUGCGUAGGCGGCUUUUUAAGUCAGUGGUGAAAUCCUGUCGCUUAACGAUAGAAUUGCCAUUGAUACUGAAGAGCUUGAGUCCAGUUGAGGUAAGCGGAAUGUGUAGUGUAGCGGUGAAAUGCUUAGAUAUUACACAGAACACCGAUUGCGAAGGCAGCUUGCUGGGCCAUUACUGACGCUGAUGCACGAAAGCGUGGGGAUCGAA